CUACUCUUUACCGGAGGCAGCAGUGGGGAAUAUUGCACAAUGGGCGCAAGCCUGAUGCAGCGACGCCGCGUGAGGGAUGACGGCCUUCGGGUUGUAAACCUCUUUCAGUAGGGAAGAAGCGAAAGUGACGGUACCUGCAGAAGAAGCGCCGGCUAACUACGUGCCAGCAGCCGCGGUAAUACGUAGGGCGCAAGCGUUAUCCGGAAUUAUUGGGCGUAAAGAGCUCGUAGGCGGUUUGUCGCGUCUGCCGUGAAAGUCCGGGGCUCAACUCCGGAUCUGCGGUGGGUACGGGCAGACUAGAGUGAUGUAGGGGAGACUGGAAUUCCUGGUGUAGCGGUGAAAUGCGCAGAUAUCAGGAGGAACACCGAUGGCGAAGGCAGGUCUCUGGGCAUUAACUGACGCUGAGGAGCGAAAGCAUGGGGAGCGAACAGGAUUAGAUACCCUGGUAGUCCAUGCCGUAAACGUUGGGCACUAGGUGUGGGGGACAUUCCACGUUUUCCGCGCCGUAGCUAACGCAUUAAGUGCCCCGCCUGGGGAGUACGGCCGCAAGGCUAAAACUCAAAGGAAUUGACGGGGGCCCGCACAAGCGGCGGAGCAUGCGGAUUAAUUCGAUGCAACGCGAAGAACCUUACCAAGGCUUGACAUGGACCGGACCGCCGCAGAAAUGUGUUUCCCCAUG
rnacentral:rRNA from 1 species